CUGGCUCAGGAUGAACGCUGGCGGCGUGCUUAAUACAUGCAAGUCGAACGAAGCACUUCAGCAGAUCCCUCGGGGUGAAGCCGGUGUGACUUAGUGGCGGACGGGUGAGUAACGCGUGGGUAACCUGCCUAUACAGGGGGAUAACAGCUGGAAACGACUGCUAAUACCCCAUAAGCGCACGGCACCGCAUGAUGCAGUGUGAAAAGAUUUAUCGGUAUAAGAUGGACCCGCGUCUGAUUAGUAGUGGCGGGUAACGGCCACCAAGACCGCGAUCAGUAGCCGACUUGAGAGAGUGAUCGGCCACAUUGGGACUGAGACACGGCCCAGACUCCUACGGGAGGCAGCAGUAGGGAAUAUUGCACAAUGGGGGAAACCCUGAUGCAGCGACGCCCGCGUGAGUGAUUGAAGUAUUUCGGUAUAGUAAAGCUCUAUCAGCAGGGAAGAUAAUGACGGUACCUGACUAAGAAGCCCCGGCUAACUACGUGCCAGCAGCUGC
rnacentral:rRNA from 1 species